UACCAGACUCCUACGGGAGGCAGCAGUGGGGGAUAUUGCACAAUGGGGGGAACCCUGAUGCAGCGACGCCGCGUGGGUGAAGGAGUAUUUCGGUAUGUAAAGCCCUAUCGGCAGGGAAGAAGCAAGACGGUACCUGACUAAGAAGCCCCGGCUAACUACGUGCCAGCAGCCGCGGUAAUACGUAGGGGGCAAGCGUUAUCCGGAUUUACUGGGUGUAAAGGGAGCGUAGACGGCAGCACAAGUCUGGAGUGAAAUCCCGGGGCUUAACCCCGGAACUGCUUUGGAAACUGUGCGGCUGGAGUGCAGGAGGGGUAAGCGGAAUUCCUAGUGUAGCGGCGAAAUGCGUAGAUAUUAGGAGGAACACCGGUGGCGAAGGCGGCUUACUGGACUGUAACUGACGUUGAGGCUCGAAAGCGUGGGGAGCAAACAGGAUUAGAUACCCCCGUAA
rnacentral:rRNA from 1 species